rnacentral:lncRNA from 1 species
GCAUCUGUUGAGGCAUCUUUCGCUUAUGAGUUUCUUUUGGAUGCAUGUACGUGAGAUCUGAGCUGCAACCUUUGUGUUUGUUGACAUUCUCAUAACUAAGCCCAAUAUGUUUAGGCUUUAGAACAUUUUUCUCUAAGAUUUCUUCUAGUUGACCAUCAGCUUUAUGAAGUUUAUCAAGAUGAUCAUCAUCUUUAUACAACAUGUCGGAGAAUUUUCUCAAACGCCAAAUGUCAGCAUUUAAGUUUUCAAUGACUUCCUUAGCUUCAUCAAGAUCAGAGGAUAGAUAAUUUACCUUCUUCUGGAGCUCAUCCAUCUUUGAUAUAUUUUCAAAUUUUUCUGCCUUUAAUUGAUUGAUGGUUACCUUUUGUUUCUUAAUGACUCUGCAUAUUUCUCCACUCUUGAGGCAGAGUUCUUUGUAAGAAUCAGCAAGUUCUUCGUAGGUUACCUCUCCAUCACAAGAUUCUGUAUCAGAUGUAAUAGUACCUGUUAAGACUGGGAUAUGUUUGGCAGUCACAGAUGCUGUAUCAUCUUCUGAGUCAUCAUCAUCAGACCAACUGACAG